UACGUAGGGUGCGAGCGUUGUCCGGAAUUAUUGGGCGUAAAGAGCUCGUAGGCGGUGUGCCACGUCGGCCGUGAAAACCUGGGGCUUAACUCUGGGCGUGCGGUCGAUACGGGCAUCACUAGGAGUUCGGCAGGGGAGACUGGAAUUCCUGGUGUAGCGGUGAAAUGCGCAGAUAUCAGGAGGAACACCGGUGGCGAAGGCGGGUCUCUGGGCCGAUAACUGAC
rnacentral:rRNA from 1 species